rnacentral:rRNA from 1 species
AACGCUAGCUACAGGCUUAACACAUGCAAGUCGAGGGGAAACGAUAUUGGAAGCUUGCUUCCGAUAGGCGUCGACCGGCGCACGGGUGGGUAACGCGUAUCCAACCUGCCCAUCACUUGGGAAUAACCUUGCGAAAGUAAGACUAAUGCCCAAUGACAUUUAUAGAAGGCAUCUGAAAUGAAUUAAAGAUUUAUCGGUGAUGGAUGGGGAUGCGUCUGAUUAGCUUGUUGGCGGGGUAACGGCCCACCAAGGCGACGAUCAGUAGGGGUUCUGAGAGGAAGGUCCCCCACAUUGGAACUGAGACACGGUCCAAACUCCUACGGGAGGCAGCAGUGAGGAAUAUUGGUCAAUGGGCGAGAGCCUGAACCAGCCAAGUAGCGUGCAGGAUGACGGCCCUAUGGGUUGUAAACUGCUUUUAUAGGGGAAUAAAGUGAGCCACGUGUGGUUUUUUGCAUGUACCCUAUGAAUAAGGACCGGCUAAUUCCGUGCCAGCAGCCGCGGUAAUACGGAAGGUCCAGGCGUUAUCCGGAUUUAUUGGGUUUAAAGGGAGCGUAGGCCGUCUGUUAAGCGUGUUGUGAAAUGUAGAUGCUCAACAUCUGAAUUGCAGCGCGAACUGGCAGACUUGAGUGUGCGCAACGUAGGCGGAAUUCGUGGUGUAGCGGUGAAAUGCUUAGAUAUCACGAAGAACUCCGAUUG